AACGAACGCUGGCGGCAUGCCUAACACAUGCAAGUCGAACGAGACCUUCGGGUCUAGUGGCGCACGGGUGCGUAACGCGUGGGAAUCUGCCCCUUGGUUCGGAAUAACAGCGAGAAAUUGCUGCUAAUACCGGAUAAUGACGUAAGUCCAAAGAUUUAUCGCCAAGGGAUGAGCCCGCGUAGGAUUAGCUAGUUGGUGUGGUAAAGGCGCACCAAGGCGACGAUCCUUAGCUGGUCUGAGAGGAUGAUCAGCCACACUGGGACUGAGACACGGCCCAGACUCCUACGGGAGGCAGCAGUGGGGAAUAUUGGACAAUGGGCGAAAGCCUGAUCCAGCAAUGCCGCGUGAGUGAUGAAGGCCUUAGGGUUGUAAAGCUCUUUAAGUUGGGAGGAAGGUAGUAACCUAAUACGUUGCUACUUUGACGUUACCGACAGAUAAGCACCGGCUAACUUCGUGCCAGCAGCCGCGGUAAAGUGACUACUG
rnacentral:rRNA from 1 species